rnacentral:lncRNA from 1 species
UGAUGUUGGUGCUAUGGCAGUAGAAGUUGAACCUUCCCACCAGUAUUCCAUUCCAUUUUGUUGCUAUGUGACAGAUGGCAGCAGAGGGGCACUCUGACAAAAUGGCACCUGACAUAGAGGGAUGAAGCAAACUUGUGUUGAAAAAGAGUGUUUUGUAGCUGAGAACUGGCUCUACCAAACAGUGGUGCUCAGGAUGCUGCAGUUGAAAGUGAAGAAGCAUUGUUUGAGACAGCGUACUUGACAAUAUUCUCAGAAAUCCUUGAUUCUAUCCCACUAUUUCACACCACUGAGAGCAUGAAGACAGUACAUCAUGGAAGUGCAAAUCCUGCACAAGGAAGAUUGUAUUGGUUCAUUAUUUAAAUCUGCAUUUUCCUACAGACUCAACAAGAGCAUGUACUAAGCAAAACCAGUGCAGCCUGCAGGAGCUGAGCAGGACUUAAAAUGAGCUGCCUCUCUCACCAGCCAGAAAUUGGUGUAUUUCAAGCAGAGACAUCCCUCACCCUGCCCCUAAGAAGCAGUGAGGCUGCAAGCACUACAGCAAUACAAAUUCCUAGUUACAAAUUCUGUGAGCACAGAUCAGUUACCCCAAGAGAGAUUUGGCUCUGGUCUCCUUUCUUGGCUCCUCAUCCUGAGGGACCCAGCUACCAUGGUUUCAAAAGCAGGGUUCAGGGCUCAGCUGGCAUCCCUGCUGCUGGGUAGAAAGACAUUGUGCUGUGUAUCACUUAUUUUUUGUACUUUUUUUGUUCUGUUUUGUUUCUGUUUGCUCUAAUUUCAACCCCUUUUCUAUUGAGCUGUCUUUAUCCCCACCCAUGAGUUUUACUUUUGUUUUUGCCUAAUUCUCUCCCUGUCCCCCCGAGUCCCUGCAUGGUAUGGAGCUGCCUGCCAGGUUAAACCACAGCAGAAAUGUACCAGACAGAAAGGUAAACAAAGCUUGCAGAACCAGUGGAAAAUAAAAGAUGAUGAAUUGUGAUAACUACUUUAAAU